UCACAUCCUCUUCACGAGACUCUUCUGUUCAUCAGAAAGGCAGAAACUUUAAGAUUUGUGAAGAUAAGUUAGAAAUCUUCUGAUAGAUCACGUUCCUGCUGCUUUCAAAGAAACUUGAAGAAUUUUUGGGUUUUACUUAUAGAAUCGGUUAUGUAAUUGCUAAAGAUUAUAAACCCUAAGCAAUCCAUAUCUUAUCCUAUCUACACAAAAUGAAUAAAGAUUAUAUCUUUAUGCUCUUAAA